rnacentral:tRNA from 1 species
GCCUGGGUGGCUCAGUCGGUUGAGUGUCUGACUUCAGCUCAGGUCAUGAUCUCACGGUUCAUGGGUUCAAGCCCCGCAUUGGGCU